UCCUGCCCUAUGAUUAAUUAAAUGGCUGCAGUAUUCUGACUGUGCAAAGGUAGCAUAAUAAUUAGUCUUUUAAUUGGAGGCUUGUAUGAAUGGUUAUAUGAGAGAUUAAUUUUAUUUUUAUUAUUUUUUGAAUUUGAUAUUUAAGUAAAAAAGCUUAAUUAUUUUUUUGGGACGAUAAGACCCUAUAGAACUUUAAUUCUUUUUUUAUGUAAUUUAUUUUAGUUUAUUAAUUAAUUUAUUGAAAGAAUAAUUUUAGUUGGGGAGGUUGAUAAAUUUUAACUUUAUCUAUUUAUUUCAUUGAUUUAUGUUUUUUUGAUCCAGUUUAUUGAUUAAAAGAUUAAGUUACCUUAGGGAUAACAGCGUUAUUUAAAUGGGGAGUUCAUAUCUAUAUUUAAGUUUGCGACCUCGAUGUUGAAUUAAGAUAAGGUUAAGGGGUAG
rnacentral:rRNA from 1 species